AAUAGAUACCCCGGUAGUCCACCCCGUAAACGUUGGGAACUAGUUGUGGGGUCCUUUCCACGGAUUCCGUGACGCAGCUAACGCAUUAAGUUCCCCGCCUGGGGAGUACGGCCGCAAGGCUAAAACUCAAAGGAAUUGACGGGGACCCGCACAAGCGGCGGAGCAUGCGGAUUAAUUCGAUGCAACGCGAAGAACCUUACCAAGGCUUGACAUACACCAGAACACCCUAGAAAUAGGGGACUCUUUGGACACUGGUGAACAGGUGGUGCAUGGUUGUCGUCAGCUCGUGUCGUGAGAUGUUGGGUUAAGUCCCGCAACGAGCGCAACCCUCGUUCUAUGUUGCCAGCGCGUAAUGGUGGGAACUCAUGGGAUACUGCCGGGGUCAACUCGGAGGAAGGUGGGGAUGACGUCAAAUCAUCAUGCCCCUUAUGUCUUGGGCUUCACGCAUGCUACAAUGGCCGGUACAAAGGGCUGCAAUACCGUGAGGUGGAGCGAAUCCCGAAAAAGCCGGUCCCAGUUCGGAUUGAGGUCUGCAACUCGACCUCAUG
rnacentral:rRNA from 1 species